CUUUGGAGGGCAAGUCUGGUGCCAGCAGCCGCGGUAAUUCCAGCUCCAAUAGCGUAUAUUAAAGUUGUUGCAGUUAAAAAGCUCGUAGUUGAACUUCAGGCCUGGUUGGGCGGUCCGCUUAACGGCGUGUACUGUCCGACUGGGUCUUACCUCUUGGUGAACCGGCGUGCCCUUUAUUGGGUGCGUCGGGGAACCAGGACUUUUACCUUGAGAAAAUUAGAGUGUUCAAAGCAGGCCUAUGCCUGAAUACAUUAGCAUGGAAUAAUAAAAUAGGACGUGCGGUUCUAUUUUGUUGGUUUCUAGAGUCGCCGUAAUGAUUAAUAGGGAUAGUUGGGGGCAUUGGUAUUGAGUCGCUAGAGGUGAAAUUCUUGGAUUGACUCAAGACCGACUAUUGCGAAAGCAUUUGCCAAGGAUGUUUUCAUUAAUCAAGAACGAAGGUUAGGGGAUCGAAAACGAUCAGAUACCGUUGUAGUCUUAACAGUAAACUAUGCCGACUAGGGAUCGGACAACCUCAAUUUUGAUGUGUUGUUCGGCGCCUUACGGGAAAC
rnacentral:rRNA from 1 species